CAGGGCUGAGGUCUCUGGGAAGGCAGAGCUGUGGUCUAGAAGAAGAUGAGACUGCUGAGUCUUCUCUUGUGCCUGGUGACAGCCCCCCAAGGUGUCCUGUCCCAGGUGCAGCUGCAGGAGUCGGGCCCAGGACUGGUGAAGCCCUCACAGACCCUCUCCCUCACCUGCACUGUCUCUGGUUACUCCAUCACAACCAGUGAUUACCGCUGGAAUUGGAUCCGCCAGCCCCCGGGAAAGGGGCUUGAGUGGAUAGGGGGCAUACGUUAUGAUGGAGACAUUAAAUACAGCCCCUCCCUCAAGAGCCGAACCUCCAUCUCCAGAGACACGUCCAAGAACCAGUUCUCCAUGCAGCUGAGCUCUGUAACCACUGAGGACAUGGCCCUGUAUUACUGUGGAAGACAUAGUGAGGGGAAGUCAGUGUGA